rnacentral:rRNA from 1 species
UACGUAGGGUGCGAGCGUUAAUCGGAAUUACUGGGCGUAAAGCGUGCGCAGGCGGGCUUUUACGUCAGACGUGAAAUCCCCGGGCUUAACCUGGGAAUGGCGUUUGGGACUGGAAGUCUGGAGUACGGCAGAGGAGACUGGAAUUCCUGGUGUAGCAGUGAAAUGCGUAGAUAUCAGGAGGAACACCGAUGGCGAAGGCAGGUCUCUGGGCUGAUACUGACGCUCAUGCACGAAAGCGUGGGGAGCAAACAGG